AUGUUAGGCAAUCUUAGUGAAAUUGGUCAAGAAUGGAUAAGAGUGGGAUGGGGAUUACGAUGAGAUGCUCAAUCUUAGUGACCAUGAUGAGGUUCAACCUGAUGAUGUUCAAGAGGAGAUCGACCUAGAUGAUUACGAUGAGAUGCUCGAGUUCUUAGGUCCCAAACGACUAGAGAUGUUGAUGACAUGCCAAGUGACGGCAUUGAAGAGCAUGAAGACCAUGAGUUGGAUCAAGAAACGAAGGGGAAGAAGGAAAAAAAGCACUAGAAUGCACAAUGUGUAUGAUUUCUGAUGUACUAUGUUGUGGAUGACAAACUGAAGUAUUGGCUAAUGGGAAGCGAUGUGAUGUAUCGCAUGGCCAU